GAUGAACGCUGGCGGCGUGCCUAAUACAUGCAAGUCGAGCGAACGGACGAGACGCUUGCUUCUUUGACGUUAGCGGCGGACGGGUGUGUAACACGUGGAUAACCUACCUAUAUGACUGGGAUAACUUCGGGAAACCGGAGCUAAUACCGGAUAAUAUUUUGAACCGCAUGGUUCAAAAGUGAAAGACGGCCUUGCUGUCACUUAUAGAUGGUUCCGCGCUGCAUUAGCUAGUUGGUAAGGUAACGGCUUACAAAGGCGACGAUGCAUAGCCGACCUGAGAGGGUGAUCGGCCACACUGGAACUGAGACACGGUCCAGACUCCUACGGGAGGCAGCAGUAGGGAAUCUUCCGCAAUGGGCGAAAGCCUGACGGAGCAACGCCGCGUGAGUGAUGAAGGUCUUCGGAUCGUAAAACUCUGUUAUUAGGGAAGAACAGAUGUGUAAGUAAAUGUGCACAUCUUGACGGUACCUAAUCAGGAAGCAACGGCUAACUACGUG
rnacentral:rRNA from 1 species